rnacentral:rRNA from 1 species
UACACACGUGCUACAAUGGGUGGUACAAGAGAAGCCAACUCGCGAGAGCGCGCCAAUCUCAAAAAGCCAUCCUCAGUUCGGAUUGGAGUCUGCAACUCGACUCCAUGAAGUUGGAAUCGCUAGUAAUCGCGGAUCAGCACGCCGCGGUGAAUACGUUCCCGGGCCUU